AGCCCAUCUAGAGCAGCAGAGAGACUUGGCUCAAUGAAGCUGCAGCAACCCCCGAACCCUCGGUGUGGGUGCUACCGCCAAGAACGAUGGAGG
rnacentral:ncRNA from 2 species